rnacentral:lncRNA from 1 species
ACCGAAAUACCAGCAACACGGUUCUGGCUAAGUGAAGAAACUGAGGCCCGGAAGGGUGUUAGCAGUGAUAAUGGGCCUGUGGACUGUGGUCUGGAAUUGUAGGAGGAAAAUUGGACUAUAGGAUUUGGUAAGUAUCUAUAGAAGGUGAACCAGAAGCCAACUUCUU